ACGUUAGCGGCGGACGGGUGAGUAACACGUGGGCAACCUACCUUAUAGUUUGGGAUAACUCCGGGAAACCGGGGCUAAUACCGAAUAAUCUGUUUCACCUCAUGGUGAAACACUGAAAGACGGCUUCUCGCUGUCGCUAUAGGAUGGGCCCCCCGCGCAUUACCUAUUUGGUGAGGUAACGGCUCACCAAGGCGACAAUGCUUACCCAACCUGAAAGGGUGAUCGGCCACACGGGGACUGAAACACGGCCCAAACCCCUACGGGAGGCACCAUUAGGGAAUCUUCCCCAAGGGGCAAAACCCGGAUGGACCACCCCCCCGUGAGUGAAAAAGGAUUUCGGUUCGUAAAACUCUGUUGUAAGGGAAAAACAAGUACAGUAGUAACUGGCUGUACCUUGACGGUACCUUAUUARAAAGCCASGGCWAAYUACKUGCCAGCAGCCGCGGUAWUACKUAGGUGGCMAGCGUUGUCCGGGAAUUAUKGGGCGUAAAGCGCGCGCAGGUGGUUUYUUAAKUCUGAUGUGAAAGCCCACGGYUCAACCGUGRAGGGUCAUUGGAAACKGGGAGACUUGAGUGCARAAGAGGAUAGUGRAAUUCCWRKUGUAGCGGUGAAAUGCGUARAGAUUUGRAGRAACACCAKUGGCRAAGGCGACUAUCUGGUCUGUAACUGACAYUGAGGCGCGAAAGCGUGGGGAGCAAACAGGAUUARAUACCYUGGUAKUCCACGCCGUAAACGAUGAGUGCUAAKUGUUAGGGGGUUUCCSCCCCUUAKUGCUGCAGCUAACGCAUUAAGCACUCCGCCUGGGGAGUACGGUCGCAAGAUUGAAACUCAAAGGAAUUGACGGGGGCCCGCACAAGCGGUGGARCAUGUGGUUUAAUUCGAAGCAACGCGAAGAACCUUACCAGGUCUUGACAUCCUGUUGACCACUGUAGAGAUAUGGUUUCCCCUUCGGGGGCAACGGUGACAGGUGGUGCAUGGUUGUCGUCAGCUCGUGUCGUGAGAUGUUGGGUUAAGUCCCGCAACGAGCGCAACCCUUGAUCUUAGUUGCCAUCAUUUAGUUGGGCACUCUAAGGUGACUGCCGGUGACAAACCGGAGGAAGGUGGGGAUGACGUCAAAUCAUCAUGCCCCUUAUGACUUGGGCUACACACGUGCUACAAUGGACGAUACAAACGGUUGCCAACUCGCGAGAGGGAGCUAAUCCGAUAAAGUCGUUCUCAGUUCGGAUUGUAGUCUGCAACUCGCCUACAUGAAGCCGGAAUCGCUAGUAAUCGCGGAUCAGCAUGCCGCGGUGAAUACGUUCCCGGGCCUUGUACACACCGCCCGUCACACCACGAGAGUUU
rnacentral:rRNA from 1 species